rnacentral:rRNA from 1 species
AGAGUUUGAUCCUGGCUCAGGAUGAACGCUGGCGGUAUGCUUAAUACAUGCAAGUCGUACGAAGGCUCUUAGCCUUAGUGGCGGACGGGUGAGUAACACGUGAGAAUCUGCCCUUAGGAGGAGGAUAACAGCUGGAAACGGUUGCUAAUACUCCAUAUGCCGAGAGGUGAAAGGAUUUAUCUACCUAAGGAGGAGCUCGCGUCUGAUUAGCUAGUUGGUAGGGUAAUGGCCUGCCAAGGCGACGAUCAGUAGCUGGUUUGAGAGGAUGAUCAGCCACACUGGGACUGAGACACGGCCCAGACUCCUACGGGAGGCAGCAGUAGGGAAUUUUCCGCAAUGGGCGAAAGCCUGACGGAGCAAUACCGCGUGAGGGAUGACGGCCUGUGGGUUGUAAACCUCUUUUCUCAAGGAAGAAGUUCUGACGGUACUUGAGGAAUAAGCAUCGGCUAACUCUGUGCCAGCAGCCGCGGUAAUACAGAGGAUGCAAGCGUUAUCCGGAA